UACGGAGGGUGCGAGCGUUGUUCGGAAUCACUGGGCGUAAAGCGCGUGUAGGCGGCUUCCUAAGUCUGGUGUGAAAAUCCCCGGGGCUCACCCCCGGAAGUGCACUGGAUACUGGGAGCUCGAGUACCGGAGAGGAGGGUGGAAUUCCUGGUGUAGCAGUGAAAUUCGUAGAUAUUCGGAAGAACACCAGUGGCGAAGGCGGCUCACUGGCCCGGUACUGACGCUGAGGUGCGAAAGCGUGGGGAGCAAACAGG
rnacentral:rRNA from 1 species